rnacentral:rRNA from 1 species
AUUGAACGCUGGCGGCAGGCUUAACACAUGCAAGUCGAGCGGGGUGAUGGUGCUUGCACUAUCACUUAGCGGCGGACGGGUGAGUAAUGCUUAGGAAUCUGCCUAUUAGUGGGGGACAACAUCUCGAAAGGGAUGCUAAUACCGCAUACGUCCUACGGGAGAAAGCAGGGGAUCACUUGUGACCUUGCGCUAAUAGAUGAGCCUAAGUCGGAUUAGCUAGUUGGUGGGUAAAGGCCUACCAAGGCGACGAUCUGUAGCGGGUCUGAGAGGAUGAUCCGCCACACUGAGACUGAGCCACUGCCCAGAGUCCUACGGGAGGCAGCAGUGGGGAAUAUUGGACAAUGGGGGGAACCCUGAUCCAGCCAAGCCGCGUGUGUGAAGAAGGCCUUAUGGUUGUAAAGCACUUUAAGCGAGGAGGAGGCUCUUUUGGUUAAUACCCAGAAUGAGUGGACGUUACUCGCAGAAUAAGCACCGGCUAACUCUGUGCCAGCAGCCGCCGUAA